CCUGACUGCUAUCGGAUUGAUACUAAGCCAUGUGAGUCAUUGUAGCAAUACAAGGCAGACGGCUCAGUAACACGUAGCCAAUCUACCCUAUGGACGGGGAUAACCUCGGGAAACUGAGGAUAAACCCCGAUAGAUCAUAAUGCCUGGAACGGUUUAUGGUCCAAAUGAUUCGUCGCCAUAGGAUGGGACUGCGGCCUAUCAGCUUGUUGGUGAGGUAAUGGCCCACCAAGGCUAUUACAGGUACGGGCUCUGAGAGGAGAAGCCCGGAGAUGGGUACUGAGACACGGACCCAGGCCCUAUGGGGCGCAGCAGGCGAGAAACCUUUGCAAUGUGCGCAAGCACGACAAGGUUAAUCCGAGUGUUUCCUGCUAAAGGAAUCUUUUGUUAGUCCUAAAAACACUAGCGAAUAAGGGGUGGGCAAGUUCUGGUGUCAGCCGCCGCGGUAAAACCAGCACCUCAAGUGGUCAGGAGGAUUAUUGGGCCUAAAGCAUCCGUAGCCUGCUCUGUAAGUUUCCGGUUAAAUCCAUUAGCUCAACUGAUGGGCCGCCGGAAAAACUGCAAAGCUAGGGAGUGGGAGAGGUAGACGGUACUCGGUAGGAAGGGGUAAAAUCCUUUGAUCUAUUGAUGACCACCUGUGGCGAAGGCGGUCUACCAGAACACGUUCGACGGUGAGGGAUGAAAGCUGGGGGAGCAAACCGGAUUAGAUACCCGGGUAGUCCCAGCUGUAAACGAUGCAGACUCGGUGAUGCCCUGGCUUGUGGCCAGUGCAGUGCCGCAGGGAAGCCGUUAAGUUUGCCGCCUGGGAAGUACGUACGCAAGUAUGAAACUUAAAGGAAUUGGCGGGGGAGCACCACAAGGGGUGAAGCCUGCGGUUC
rnacentral:rRNA from 1 species